rnacentral:lncRNA from 1 species
AUACAAAAUAAUUAUGGAUAUGUGAUGGAUCUAAAAAUGUGAUUAUCAUAAAUGAAUAAUGAAUGUGAAAGAGAAAAGAAUGAAAACCCGUUUGACUGUUAUCCUUGAGGGGUUCCUGUUUCUCUCUCCUUUGAAUAAAUAUUGGUAAUACUCUGUGAAUGAUCGGUGUUUUCCUCUAACGAGAGCGAAUUUACGAAAUGAUAUGGAGGGCCACAAUGGUGAAGUACAAUCGUUGUCAUAAAUUAUGCCCAAUAUCAUUAUGGAAUUGACCCAAUAUCAUUGUGGAACUAUCCCAAUAUCGUUAUGGAACUGACCCAAUAUCAUUCUGGAAUUGUCCCAAUGUCGUUAUGGAACUGACCCAAUAUCGUUAUGGAACUAUCCCAGCAUAUUCAACUUGAAUGCCCCUUUACACAUCCAGCUCG